rnacentral:rRNA from 1 species
UAGGGAAUCUUCGGCAAUGGGGGGAACCCUGACCGAGCAACGCCGCGUGAGUGAAGAAGGUUUUCGGAUCGUAAAGCUCUGUUGUUAAGGAAGAACGAGUGUGAGAAUGGAAAGUUCAUGCUGUGACGGUACUUAACCAGAAAGGGACGGCUAACUACGUGCCAGCAGCCGCGGUAAUACGUAGGUCCCGAGCGUUGUCCGGAUUUAUUGGGCGUAAAGCGAGCGCAGGCGGUUAGAAAAGUCUGAAGUGAAAGGCAGUGGCUCAACCAUUGUAGGCUUUGGAAACUGUUUAAAUUGAGUGCAGAAGGGGAGAGUGGAAUUCCAUGUGUAGCGGUGAAAUGCGUAGAUAUAUGGAGGAACACCGGUGGCGAAAGCGGCUCGCUGGUCUGUAACUGACGCUGAGGCUCGAAAGCGUGGGGAGCGAACAGG